AUAGAGCAUCCCCUGCACGAUUAUCUAUGCUAUUAUCCGCUCUUUCUUUAACCUACCUUCCUUUCAUUCUCACCGUUUUAUGGCUGAUGUCUCCUUUGUAUUUUUUCUUCUUAACAGUGCCAUCGACGUUCUUGAUCUAUUGUCAACCAUUUCUUUCCGGAUCCCUUCCUACUCCAUUAGGACACACUCCCUGUUCCACUUGCCUAAACACCACACCUAUAAUGGGUUUGAUAAUCCCCUCCACCGUGCUUUACGUUUACUCAAUGCUGCUUAAUUCGGGAGCUUUCAAUCAUUUUCCUUAAAUUUAAGUUACCCUGCUGCUCUCACCCGUGCCACAUAGUUGUAGUUAACUUAAAGAUCACGUUGUACGUAUUGGCG